rnacentral:misc_RNA from 1 species
CCGACAUGCGCAAUGUCUCUGCGAAAAUGUCCAAUAUGCCGACGUGCUAUUCAAGAAAGAAUUAGAACUGAAGUCUAAGUACAUCAAUUCUGAACUAUUUCAAUCCUGUUUUGAAACCUACAUUAAAAUUCGGUGGCGUUUGGUAGACAGAAAAAUAUGAGUUUUUAUUUUCAACAUGCUUAAACGAAUUCGAGAUACAGUGUAAGUAAAUUUAUUUAUAUGCAUAGCCGAAGAAAAUAUUUCACAUACAUUUAAAAACACUAGAUCUUUUUAUGGUAAAAACGUAUUUUAUUUAUGCUCAAAUAAAUGAUUAUUACUGUAAACCAACCUUAUAACCGCGAGAUUCUUGGUAUCGCGAAUAUUUCGUGCCGGAAAUUAGCUAUCAAUGUCUUACGUAAAAUUUUAAAUAAUCAUGAUAGGUUUUCUUGCAAAAAUUGUCGUGGCGGAAAAGGAAAUCAUUUAUUAAAUGCGAAAUAGAUGUUAUACAAAUAAAAGCUGGUUUUGAGUAGCGUCCUCUUGUAAACUAUUUCGGGACUAAAAUAGUGAUCUAAGGUAGUAGAAGUGAUAGAAGUAGCUAUAAUUUGCAACGGUUAUUUAUAGGACAGCAAGUGAAAAAAUUAAGUUAACAUCACAUCACACAUAGUAUCUAUUCAUUUAUAGAUUUUGACUUCAAUAAAAUGCUAAUAUAUUGU